rnacentral:rRNA from 1 species
GGUUGGUACUUGUACCGACUGGAUGAGCAGCGAACGGGUGAGUAACGCGUGGGGAAUCUGCCUUUGAGCGGGGGACAACAUUUGGAAACGAAUGCUAAUACCGCAUAAAAACUUUAAACACAAGUUUUAAGUUUGAAAGAUGCAAUUGCAUCACUCAAAGAUGAUCCCGCGUUGUAUUAGCUAGUUGGUGAGGUAAAGGCUCACCAAGGCGAUGAUACAUAGCCGACCUGAGAGGGUGAUCGGCCACAUUGGGACUGAGACACGGCCCAAACUCCUACGGGAGGCAGCAGUAGGGAAUCUUCGGCAAUGGACGAAAGUCUGACCGAGCAACGCCGCGUGAGUGAAGAAGGUUUUCGGAUCGUAAAACUCUGUUGGUAGAGAAGAACGUUGGUGAGAGUGGAAAGCUCAUCAAGUGACGGUAACUACCCAGAAAGGGACGGCUAACUACGUGCCAGCAGCCGCGGUAAUACGUAGGUCCCGAGCGUUGUCCGGAUUUAUUGGGCGUAAAGCGAGCGCAGGUGGUUUAUUAAGUCUGGUGUAAAAGGCAGUGGCUCAACCAUUGUAUGCAUUGGAAACUGGUAGACUUGAGUGCAGGAGAGGAGAGUGGAAUUCCAUGUGUAGCGGUGAAAUGCGUAGAUAUAUGGAGGAACACCGGUGGCGAAAGCGGCUCUCUGGCCUGUAACUGACACUGAGGCUCGAAAGCGUGGGGAGCAAACAGGAUUAGAUACCCUGGUAGUCCACGCCGUAAACG